rnacentral:lncRNA from 1 species
CACUUUUGAUGACUUUAUUGAGUCGAUUCUGCAUGUCCAGCAGGAGGUUGUACCAGCUCUCUGACAGUGAGGUCACCAGCCCUAUCAUGCCGUUGACCGUGCCGAAGAGCACCGAGCCUUGUGUGGGGGUGGAAGUCUCACCCAGAUUCUGCAUUACCAGAGAGCCGUGGCAAAAGACAUUGACAAACUCGCCCAGGUGGAAAAGACCAACCUCCUGGAGGUGCUGCCGCUCCUCGUCAGUGGUGGCAGCGCUAUCCUUUUGACACACAAACAAGUUAAAGGCAUUUUCAGCCCCCAGAAAAUUGUCAUCAUCCAAGAUUUCCACAGCACUCAUCCAGUUGGGAUUAAAGUCUCGAGCAAUCUCUUCAAAGUUUCCUUCCAUGGGCUUGUAGGCAAGCAGCAGCACUGAGCGCAUAAGGUCGCCCACCAGGAUGAAGUCGCCCUUGGUCUUCAGGUAGAGGGCCAUGAUGUUGUUGUAGUGGUUGCACUCAGUGCGCAGCUCCUUCUCUGUUGUCCACUCAUAGAGCCGCACCGUGCUAUUGAUGCUGGCUAACAGCUUCCCGUUAAAUUCCACCAUAGAGUACACGGCCC